CUCCGGUGAAACUUGAUCAAAUAGCACCCAACCAACCUCAACGUAACUGUUCGUUCGUGCAUUGAAUAUCUCAGCAUUUCCUCAGUUUUGAACGUUAGGGGGCAAAAUUUUGAUCCAAAAAUGAAAAAUAUUAGGGGGUCAAAUUGGGUAACAUAAACAAAUCUGACAUGGGGCAUUAUAGCUUGAAUCUGUCCUUCUACUUUGUGUUGCCUAUAGCAUCAUCUAUCCCCUACCAAACUGGAUCAUCUGGAGCAAACAUCAUGGAUGCAUAGCCAAAAUUCACUACAUCGGAUAUUUCAUGAGAGCUGCACAACAGAAGUUGACAACAUCAAUCCAUAGAUAUUACUAUCAAUUGCAAAAUCACAAUCAAUUAUUCACACCUAGGAGUUCAGUUAUACACCUGGGUUAAACUGAAUAUGGGGUCGCAGCAUAACAGUUAAUCUUGAAUUCCACUCCAGUGAGCUCUCAAGAUCAGUAAAUGGGUGUCAACCUAGUCCCAGCCCAUCCAAGUAAAAUGGUUAACAACCAACACCUUUCACAGCAUAAAAGCUUUCGGUAUCAGGCCUGCUUUUAUCUGCUUAUAUGGAGGUGCAAUCCCAUUUUGUCUAAUUCUAGUUGUUACUCUCUGUUUUAACUGACCAAAAUUAUCCAGUCAGCCUACUUAGAUCAACAUUGCACUAGCUAACAGGG
rnacentral:lncRNA from 1 species